ACUUGGCGAGAGCUUUCCAUAGACACCAAGAACGCCGAAAUCCAUCGAGCGGUUUGUCCGAUUUUUGCUCGGGAAGAUUUUAGCCCAUUUCGACUUUUGGGCUAGAUUUCUCGAAAACCGUGAAUCCCACGAGGAAACCGAGGCCACCAACACGCUCCAUUCGUCGAGAGCUUCGCAACGACAUAAAUUUCGAAUUUUUCCGACACCGUUUUUCGGUAUCCUCGAUUCGCGGAAAUUCGACAGUUGACCGGGUCUGCAAAUUUCGGGCCAGACAGACCCGUGACCGGAAAAGUCUCCGAAUUGGGCCGAGGUUUUGGCUAGCCCCCCAUUGUCAGACGUCCCGAGCGCGUCCCCGAAGUCGGAAUCGGCAAAGGUGAGCCGGGACAGCCUUCUUCCUCCGCCCAGCCGCCACAGUAAUUUGUCGUCAAGUUUGUGAGUAAAAUAUUAAUUUUAAUUGUAAUUUCGAUAUUAUUAUAUGUUCAGCAUGCCCAUGCAUCACUUAUAUGCAUAUAUUUAUUUA